rnacentral:rRNA from 1 species
AUUGAACGCUGGCGGCAGGCCUAACACAUGCAAGUCGAACGAGUGGCGGACGGGUGAGUAAUGUCUGGGAAACUGCCUGAUGGAGGGGGAUAACUACUGGAAACGGUAGCUAAUACCGCAUACCAUCAGAUGUGCCCAGAUGGGAUUAGCUUGUGGGUGGGGUAACGGCUUACCAAGGCGACGAUCCCUAGCUGGUCUGAGAGGAUGAUCGGCCACACUGGAACUGAGACACGGUCCAGACUCCUACGGGAGGCAGCAGUGGGGAAUCUUGCGCAAUGGGCGAAAGCCUGACGGAGCCAUGCCGCGUGUGUGAAGAAGGUCUUCGGAUUGUAAAGCACUUUCAUCGGGGAGGCGUUACCCGCAGAGGAAGCAACGGCUAACUCCGUGCCAGCAGCCGCGGUAAUAC